rnacentral:rRNA from 2 species
UACGGAGGGGGCCAGCGUUGUUCGGAAUCAUUGGGCGUAAAGGGCGCGUAGGCGGCUUUGUAAGUCCGUUGUGAAAUCCCUCGGCUCAACCGAGGAACUGCGACGGAUACUGCUCGGCUUGAGUCCCGGAGAGGGUAGCGGAAUUCCCAGUGUAGCGGUGAAAUGCGUAGAUAUUGGGAGGAACAUCGGUGGCGAAGGCGGCUACCUGGACGGGUACUGACGCUGAUGCGCGAAAGCUAGGGGAGCAAACAGG